AACGAACGCUGGCGGCAUGCCUAACACAUGCAAGUCGAACGAGACCUUCGGGUCUAGUGGCCCACGGGUGCGUCACGCGAGGGAACCUGCCCUUAGGUUCGGAAUAACUCCCCGAAAGGGGUGCUAAUACCGGAUAAUGUCUUCGGACCAAAGAUUUAUCGACAUUGGAUGGGCCCGCGUUGUAUUAGCUAGUUGGUAGGGUAAAAGCCUACCAAGGCGACGAUCCAUAGCUGGUCUGAGAGGAUGAUCAGCCACACUGGGACUGAGACACGGCCCAGACUCCUACGGGAGGCAGCAGUGGGUAAUAUUGGACAAUGGGCGAAAGCCUGAUCCAGCAAUGCCGCGUGAGUGAUGAAGGCCUUAGGGUUGUAAAGCUCUUUUACCCGGGAUGAUAAUGACAGUACCGGGAGAAUAAGCUCCGGCUAACUCCGUG
rnacentral:rRNA from 1 species